UGGGGAAUUUUGGACAAUGGGCGCAAGCCUGAUCCAGCCAUACCGCGUGAGUGAAGAAGGCCUUCGGGUUGUAAAGCUCUUUCAGACGGAAAGAAACGGUUACGGCUAAUACCCGUGACUAAUGACGGUACCGUAAGAAGAAGCACCGGCUAACUACGUGCCAGCAGCCGCGGUAAUACGUAGGGUGCGAGCGUUAAUCGGAAUUACUGGGCGUAAAGCGUGCGCAGGCGGUUUGGUAAGACAGAUGUGAAAUCCCCGGGCUCAACCUGGGAAUGGCAUUUGUGACUGUAGAGCUAGAGUACGGUAGAGGGGGAUGGAAUUCCGCGUGUAGCAGUGAAAUGCGUAGAUAUGCGGAGGAACACCGAUGGCGAAGGCAAUCCCCUGGACCUGUACUGACGCUCAUGCACGAAAGCGUGGGGAGCAAACAGGAUUAGAUACCCCGGUAGUCCCUGAGCGGGCUGGCAAGGCGCAU
rnacentral:rRNA from 1 species